UACGGGGGGAGCAAGCGUUGUUCGGAUUUACUGGGCGUAAAGGGCGCGUAGGCGGUGCGGUAAGUCACUUGUGAAAUCUCCGAGCUUAACUCGGAACGGCCAAGUGAUACUGCAGUACUAGAGUGCGGAAGGGGCAAUCGGAAUUCUUGGUGUAGCGGUGAAAUGCGUAGAUAUCAAGAGGAACACCUGAGGUGAAGACGGGUUGCUGGGCCGACACUGACGCUGAUGCGCGAAAGCCAGGGGAGCAAACGGG
rnacentral:rRNA from 1 species